rnacentral:rRNA from 1 species
UACGGAGGGGGCUAGCGUUGUUCGGAAUUACUGGGCGUAAAGCGCACGUAGGCGGCUUUGUAAGUUAGAGGUGAAAGCCCGGGGCUCAACUCCGGAAUUGCCUUUAAGACUGCAUCGCUAGAACGUCGGAGAGGUAAGUGGAAUUCCGAGUGUAGAGGUGAAAUUCGUAGAUAUUCGGAAGAACACCAGUGGCGAAGGCGACUUACUGGACGACUGUUGACGCUGAGGUGCGAAAGCGUGGGGGAGCAAACAGG